UACAGAGGGGGCCAGCGUUAUUCGGAAUUAUUGGGCGUAAAGGGCGCGUAGGCGGGUGCUCAAGUCUGUGGUGAAAUCCUCCGGCUCAACCGGAGAACUGCCAUGGAUACUGGGCGUCUCGAGUGUGGUAGGGGUAUGCGGAACUAUCGGUGGAGCGGUGAAAUGCGUUGAUAUCGAUAGGAACUCCGGUGGCGAAGGCGGCAUACUGGACCACCACUGACGCUGAUGCGCGAAAGCCAGGGGAGCAAACGGG
rnacentral:rRNA from 1 species